GGUGUUGGCGAGUGUGAAGAGAGAGGAGGAGCGUUUGCGGCCUCAGCGUCUGUCAACAGAACCCUCUUCACCCGUGGUUAAACCCUCCCUAACCCUGAGCUCGUGCUCCCCUCCCGGUGGACGCAGACCUGACCACAGAAGCCCUGCAGCACUCACUGGGGGCUUGAGGGAGCCCCUGAGUCCCCUCCACCCUCGCCGCCUUCUCCUGGGUACCCAGGAAACGUCUCCAAGGGAGGCUGUGACCCAGGACCCCGCCUCGACCUCACCUUCUUCUGUAAGGCGCAGUGAAAGACGAAGAUGAAGACCCCCUGGAAGGCGUUGAAGGUGGUGAAGAGAUAGGCCAUGACCACCGACUCCUUGUUGAUGAAGAGGAGGCCGAAAGCCCAGCCAUGUACGGCGUGCCUGCUUCCCCUUCACCUUCUGCUGUGAUUGUAAGUUUCCUGAGGCCUCCCCAGAAGCAGAAGCUACUAUGCUUCCUGUACAGCCUGCAGAACUAUGAGCCAAUUAAAUGUCUUUUCUUUAUAAACUA
rnacentral:lncRNA from 1 species